CGGUAAUUCCAGCUCCAACAGUGUAUAUUAACACUGCUGCAGUUGAAACGCUCGUAGUUGGGAAUUUGUUGUAUAAUAUUGGUCUAUCCUAGAGGUCAGUACUUUAUAUGAAUGCAGCAUCGUCUUGAUUAUCUUUCUACACUUAACUGUGUAUUUUGUUGAAUCAAUCCGUAUACUUUGAAGAAAUGAGAGUGUUUCAAGCAACUUUAUUUAAGGAUAUAUUAGCAUGGAAUAACACAUUACGACCUCAUAUUGUGUCUGUUGGUUGCCGAGAUCGGGUAACAAGGAGGAGGAUAAUUGGUGGUAUUUAUAUUGCACAGUCAGAGGUGAAAUUCUUGGAUUUUUGCAAGAUGAUCGAUUGCGAAAGCAUUUGUCAAGAGUGUUUUUAUUGAUCAAGAACGAAAGUUAAGGGAUCGAAGACGAUCAGAUACCGUUGUAGUCUUAACCGUAAACCAUGUCGCCUAGAAAUUGGCGGGUAUAUAUUAUCAUCCCGUCAGCAACUUGAGAGAAAUCACAGUUUUUGGAUUCCGGGGGGAGUAUGAUCACAAGAUUGAAACUUAAAGGAAUUGACGGAAAGGCACCACCAGGGGUGGAGCGUGCGGCUUAAUUCGACUCAACACUGGAAAAUUUAUCAGGUCCAAACAUAGAAACGAUUGACAGAUUGAUUGGCUUUUCUUAAUUCUGUGGGUGGUGGUGCAUGGCCGUUCUUAGUUGGUGGAGUGAUUUGUCUGGUUAAUUUCGAUAACGAUCGAGAUCUUGACCUGCUAAAUAGAUGCAAGAUGUAUAUAUAAUCGUGUGAACUUCUUAGAGGAAACAUUUGUGUAAAGCAGAAGGAAGAUUAAGGUAAUAACAGGUCUGUGAUGCCCUUAGAUGUCUUGAGCUGCACGCGCGCUACACUGAAGCACUUCACAAGGAAUUCAUCUGGUUUGAAAGGAGUGGGAAAUCUUAUCCCUGUGCCUCGUGAUGGGGCUUGUUCAUUGUAAUUAUUGAACAUUAACGAGGAAUCCCUAGUAAGUGCAUAUCAUCAAUCUGUUCUGACUAAGUCCCUGCCCCUUGUACACACCGCCC
rnacentral:rRNA from 1 species